rnacentral:misc_RNA from 1 species
AAGUUGUCAGAGGAUAGCAGGAAAUAUGGCGCGGAAAAUACAUGUACUAGUGGUACUACAUUAUCAAAGGCAGCACUAAAUUAUGGACGUGCUCGCGCUCAGAUGGAGAAGGAACGUGGUAAUCUACUGAAAGCACUUGGUACACAGGUUGCUGAGCCAUUGAGAGCAAUGGUAAUGGGAGCUCCUUUGGAGGAUGCUCGACAUCUUGCACAACGUUAUGACAGAAUGCGACAAGAAGCAGAAGCUCAGGCCAUAGAAGUUUCCAAACGCCAGGUAAAAGUGAGAGAAAUGCCUGGAAGUCCUGAGCUUGCUAUGAAAUUAGA